rnacentral:rRNA from 1 species
AUGGCCAGGAUGCAGUUAGCAAUCACCCUAUGCAAGUGGGUACUAUUGGUCAGCAUGCACUUAAUGAUCAGUUUAAUGACAUCAAUGACUUCUCAUGGGAUGAUUUUUUUCUCAACCCGCUGGAUGCAGAUUUCACUAUCGAGGAUGAUUUCAUGGGUGGAGAAGAAUAGUUUGUCUAUUAGCCCAACCUAUGCACGCGAUGUUUUCUGCAUGUGCGUUGGCCACUUGUACACUAAUCAUUUGUCUGUUCUUGCACAUUGUAUCAUGAAAUUGUGUGUACCGGUGUAUUCUAGUUGGAAGCAUGGUCUUACUGGGUAA